UGGGGAAUUUUGGACAAUGGGCGCAAGCCUGAUCCAGCCAUUCCGCGUGCAGGAUGAAGGCCCUCGGGUUGUAAACUGCUUUUGUACAGAACGAAAAGGUCCUGGUUAAUACCUGGGGCUCAUGACGGUACUGUAAGAAUAAGCACCGGCUAACUACGUGCCAGCAGCCGCGGUAAUACGUAGGGUGCAAGCGUUAAUCGGAAUUACUGGGCGUAAAGCGUGCGCAGGCGGUUAUGUAAGACAGAGGUGAAAUCCCCGGGCUCAACCUGGGAACUGCCUUUGUGACUGCAUAGCUAGAGUACGGUAGAGGGGGAUGGAAUUCCGCGUGUAGCAGUGAAAUGCGUAGAUAUGCGGAGGAACACCGAUGGCGAAGGCAAUCCCCUGGACCUGUACUGACGCUCAUGCACGAAAGCGUGGGGAGCAAACA
rnacentral:rRNA from 1 species